UACGUAGGUGGCAAGCGUUGUCCGGAAUUACUGGGCGUAAAGUGUGCGCAGGCGGCACCGCAAGUCGAGUGUGAAAGCCCCGGGCUUAACUUGGGAAUUGCGCUCGAAACUAUGGUGCUGGAGUGUGGCAGAGGAAGGUGGAAUUCCAGGUGUAGCGGUGAAAUGCGUAGAGAUCUGGAGGAACACCGAUGGCGAAGGCAGCCUUCUGGGCCAACACUGACGCUCAUGCACGAAAGCGUGGGGAGCAAACAGG
rnacentral:rRNA from 1 species